UGCCUGUACCAUAACCGACACAGGUGGGUAGGUAGAGUAUACUAAGGGGCGCGAGAUAACUCUCUCUAAGGAACUCGGCAAAAUGACUCCGUAACUUCGGGAGAAGGAGUGCCUUAUUUAUAAGGUUGCAAUAACAAGAUCCAAGCAACUGUUUAUCAAAAACACAGGUCUCCGCUAAGUCGUAAGACGAUGUAUGGGGGCUGACGCCUGCCCAGUGCCAGAAGGUUAAAGAAGUUGGUUAGUGUAUGCGAAGCUGAUGACUGAAGCCCUGGUGAACGGCGGCCGUAACAAUAACGGUCCUAAGGUAGCGGAAUUCCUUGUCGGGUAAGUUCCGACCCGCACGAAAGGCGUAAUGAUUUGGAUACUGUCUCGGAGAGAGGCUCGGUGAAAUAGACUUGUCUGUGAAGAUGCGGACUACCUGCACCAGGACAGAAAGACCCUAUGAAGCUUUACUGUAACUUGAAAUUGGAAUUGGACUUUGCUUGCGCAGUAUAGGUGGGAAGCGUUGAAGAUAUUCUUGCGGGAGUAUUGGAGCUAUCAGUGAGAUACCACUCUUGUAAUGUUAGAUUUCUAACUUUGAACCAUAAUCUGGUCAAAGAACAGUUUCAGGUGGGCAGUUUGACUGGGGCGGUCGCCUCCCAAAUGGUAACGGAGGCGUACAAAGGUUUCCUCUGAACGGAUAGAAAUCGUAUCUAGAGUGUAAAGGCAUAAGGAAGCUUGACUGCGAGACCUACAAGUCGAGCAGGGACGAAAGUCGGUCUUAGUGAUCUGACGGUACUGAGUGGAAAGGCCGUCACUCAACGGAUAAAAGUUACUCUAGGAUAACAGGCUGAUCUCCCCCAAGAGUUCACAUCGACGGGGAGGUUUGGCACCUCGAUGUCGGCUCAUCGCAUCCUGGGGCGGUAGUACGUCCCAAGGGUUGGGCUGUUCGCCCAUGAAAGCGGUACGCGAGCUGGGUUCAGAACGUCGUGAGACAGUUCGGUCCAUAUCCGGUGUAGGCGUUAGAAUAUUGAGAGGAGCCUUCUUUAGUACGAGAGGACCGAGAAGGACACACCGCUGGUGUACCAGUUAUCGUGCCAACGGUAAACGCUGGGUAGCUAUGUGUGGAGUGGAUAACCGCUGAAAGCAUCUAAGUGGGAAGCCCACCUCAAGAUGAGUAUUCUCAUCACUAUAAGUGAGUAAGGUCACGGUAAGACUAACCGUUUGAUAGGCAUUAAGUGUAAAUGUAGUAAUGCAUGUGCUGAGAUGUCCUAACAGACCGAGGACUUGA
rnacentral:rRNA from 1 species